rnacentral:rRNA from 1 species
GAUGAACGCUGGCGGCGUGCCUAAUACAUGCAAGUCGAGCGAACAGACGAGGAGCUUGCUCCUCUGACGUUAGCGGCGGACGGGUGAGUAACACGUGGAUAACCUACCUAUAAGACUGGGAUAACUUCGGGAAACCGGAGCUAAUACCGGAUAAUAUAUUGAACCGCAUGGUUCAAUAGUGAAAGACGGUUUUGCUGUCACUUAUAGAUGGAUCCGCGCCGCAUUAGCUAGUUGGUAAGGUAACGGCUUACCAAGGCAACGAUGCGUAGCCGACCUGAGAGGGUGAUCGGCCACACUGGAACUGAGACACGGUCCAGACUCCUACGGGAGGCAGCAGUAGGGAAUCUUGCGCAAUGGGCGAAAGCCUGACGGAGCAAUGCCGCGUGAGUGAUGAAGGUCUUCGGAUCGUAAAACUCUGUUAUUAGGGAAGAACAAAUGUGUAAGUAACUCUGCACGUCUUGACGGUACCUAAUCAGAAAGCCACGGCUAACUACGUG